AGAGUUUGAUCCUGGCUCAGGACGAACGCUGGCGGCGUGCCUAAUACAUGCAAGUAGAACGCUGAAGAGAGGAGCUUGCUCUUCUUGGAUGAGUUGCGAACGGGUGAGUAACGCGUAGGUAACCUGCCUUGUAGCGGGGGAUAACUAUUGGAAACGAUAGCUAAUACCGCAUAACAAUGGAUGACACAUGUCAUUUAUUUGAAAGGGGCAAUUGUUCCACUACAAGAUGGACCUGCGUUGUAUUAGCUAGUAGGUGAGGUAAUGGCUCACCUAGGCGACGAUACAUAGCCGACCUGAGAGGGCGAUCGGCCACACUGGGACUGAGACACGGCCCAGACUCCUACGGGAGGCAGCAGUAGGGAAUCUUCGGCAAUGGGGGCAACCCUGACCGAGCAACGCCGCGUGAGUGAAGAAGGUUUUCGGAUCGUAAAGCUCUGUUGUAAGUCAAGAACGGGUGUGAGAGUGGAAAGUUCACACUGUGACGGUAGCUUACCAGAAAGGGACGGCUAACUACGUGCCAGCAGCCGCGGUAAUACGUAGGUCCCGAGCGUUGUCCGGAUUUAUUGGGCGUAAAGCGAGCGCAGGCGGCUUGAUAAGUCUGAAGUUAAAGGCUGUGGCUCAACCAUAGUUCGCUUUGAAAACUGUCGAACUUGAGUGCAGAAGGGGAGAGUGGAAUUCCAUGUGUAGCGGUGAAAUGCGUAGAUAUAUGGAGGAACACCGGUGGCGAAAGCGGCUCUCUGGUCUGUAACUGACGCUGAGGCUCGAAAGCGUGGGGAGCGAACAGGAUUAGAUACCCUGGUAGUCCACGCCGUAAACGAUGAGUGCUAGGUGUUGGAUCCUUUCCGGGAUUCAGUGCCGCAGCUAACGCAUUAAGCACUCCGCCUGGGGAGUACGACCGCAAGGUUGAAACUCAAAGGAAUUGACGGGGGCCCGCACAAGCGGUGGAGCAUGUGGUUUAAUUCGAAGCAACGCGAAGAACCUUACCAGGUCUUGACAUCCCGAUGCUAUUUCUAGAGAUAGAAAGUUACUUCGGUACAUCGGUGACAGGUGGUGCAUGGUUGUCGUCGGCUCGUGUCGUGAGAUGUUGGGUUAAGUCCCGCAACGAGCGCAACCCCUAUUGUUAGUUGCCAUCAUUCAGUUGGGCACUCUAGCGAGACUGCCGGUAACAAACCGGAGGAAGGUGGGGAUGACGUCAAAUCAUCAUGCCCCUUAUGACCUGGGCUACACACGUGCUACAAUGGUUGGUACAACGAGUUGCGAGUCGGUGACGGCGAGCUAAUCUCUUAAAGCCAAUCUCAGUUCGGAUUGUAGGCUGCAACUCGCCUACAUGAAGUCGGAAUCGCUAGUAAUCGCGGAUCAGCACGCCGCGGUGAAUACGUUCCCGGGCCUUGUACACACCGCCCGUCACACCACGAGAGUUUGUAACACCCGAAGUCGGUGAGGUAACCUUUUGGAGCCAGCCGCCUAAGGUGGGACAGAUGAUUGGGGUGAAGUCGUAACAAGGUA
rnacentral:rRNA from 1 species